AAGCUUAUGCACCGUCCAUAAGCUACAGUAAACUGCUGAAUACACCCCCAUGUCCUUGCUUCAUACACCCCCACUUCUUACACAUCACCCUCACCCUAACCUAAUAGACAAAAUCUUUCAGACAAAAUAUCUUCACUCCAACUCCGCCGUCGUUUCCAACUCCGCCGUCUGCGUUCGUACCAAUUCUAAGGUUGAUUUCUCAUCUCGUCCUUUUAGGGUUUUUACGGAAAUCAAAGCUCAACAUCAUCACCAUCGCCAUCAUCAUCAACG
rnacentral:lncRNA from 1 species